GACGGAGGGCGCAAGCGUUGUUCGGAAUUACUGGGCGUAAAGCGCGCGCAGGCGGGAAGGGAAGUCUGGAGUGAAAUUCCGGGGCUCAACUCCGGAGCUGCUUUGGAUACUGUCUUUCUAGGGACCGGUAGAGGCCGGUGGAAUUCCCGGUGUAGCGGUGGAAUGCGUAGAGAUCGAGAGGAACACCUGCGGCGAAGGCGGGUUGCUGGGCUGACACUGACGCUGAGGCGCGAAAGCUAGGGGAGCGAACAGG
rnacentral:rRNA from 1 species